AACGCUAGCUACAGGCUUAACACAUGCAAGUCGAGGGGCAGCAUGGUCUUAGCUUGCUAAGGCCGAUGGCGACCGGCGCACGGGUGAGUAACACGUAUCCAACCUGCCGUCUACUCUUGGACAGCCUUCUGAAAGGAAGAUUAAUACAAGAUGGCAUCAUGAGUCCGCAUGUUCACAUGAUUAAAGGUAUUCCGGUAGACGAUGGGGAUGCGUUCCAUUAGAUAGUAGGCGGGGUAACGGCCCACCUAGUCUUCGAUGGAUAGGGGUUCUGAGAGGAAGGUCCCCCACAUUGGAACUGAGACACGGUCCAAACUCCUACGGGAGGCAGCAGUGAGGAAUAUUGGUCAAUGGGCGAGAGCCUGAACCAGCCAAGUAGCGUGAAGGAUGACUGCCCUAUGGGUUGUAAACUUCUUUUAUAAAGGAAUAAAGUCGGGUAUGGAUACCCGUUUGCAUGUACUUUAUGAAUAAGGAUCGGCUAACUCCGUGCCAGCAGCCGCGGUAAUACGGAGGAUCCGAGCGUUAUCCGGAUUUAUUGGGUUUAAAGGGAGCGUAGAUGGAUGUUUAAGUCAGUUGUGAAAGUUUGCGGCUCAACCGUAAAAUUGCAGUUGAUACUGGAUAUCUUGAGUGCAGUUGAGGCAGGCGGAAUUCGUGGUGUAGCGGUGAAAUGCUUAGAUAUCACGAAGAACUCCGAUUGCGAAGGCAGCCUGCUAAGCUGCAACUGACAUUGAGGCUCGAAAGUGUGGGUAUCAAACAGGAUUAGAUACCCUGGUAGUCCACACGGUAAACGAUGAAUACUCGCUGUUUGCGAUAUACUGCAAGCGGCCAAGCGAAAGCGUUAAGUAUUCCACCUGGGGAGUACGCCGGCAAACGGUGAAACUCAAAAGGAAUUGACGGGGUCCCGCACAAGCGGAGGGAACAUGUGGUUUAAUUCGAUGAUACGCGAGGAACCUUACCCGGGCUUAAAUUGCAGAUGAAUUACGGUGAAAGCCGUAAGCCGCAAGGCAUCUGUGAAGGUGCUGCAUGGUUGUCGUCAGCUCGUGCCGUGAGGUGUCGGCUUAAGUGCCAUAACGAGCGCAACCCUUGUUGUCAGUUACUAACAGGUUCCGCUGAGGACUCUGACAAGACUGCCAUCGUAAGAUGUGAGGAAGGUGGGGAUGACGUCAAAUCAGCACGGCCCUUACGUCCGGGGCUACACACGUGUUACAAUGGGGGGUACAGAGGGCCGCUACCACGCGAGUGGAUGCCAAUCCCAAAAACCUCUCUCAGUUCGGACUGGAGUCUGCAACCCGACUCCACGAAGCUGGAUUCGCUAGUAAUCGCGCAUCAGCCACGGCGCGGUGAAUACGUUCCCGGGCCUUGUACACACCGCCCGUCAAGCCAUGGGAGCCGGGGGUACCUGAAGUGCGUAACCAAGAGGAGCGCCCUAGGGUAAAACUGGUGACUGG
rnacentral:rRNA from 1 species